GAUUGGAGUCUGCAACUCGACUCCAUGAAGCUGGAUUCGCUAGUAAUCGCGCAUCAGCCAUGGCGCGGUGAAUACGUUCCCGGGCCUUGUACACACCGCCCGUCAAGCCAUGGGAGUCGGGAGUGCCUGAAGUUCGUGACCGUCACAGGAGCGACCUAAGGCAAGACCGAUGACUGGGGCUAAGUCGUAACAAGGUACC
rnacentral:rRNA from 1 species